UACGUAGGGUGCGAGCGUUAAUCGGAAUUACUGGGCGUAAAGAGCUCGUAGGCGGUGUGUCGCGUCGGCCGUGAAAACCUGCAGCUUAACUGUGGGCUUGCGGUCGAUACGGGCAUCACUGGAGUUCGGCAGGGGAGACUGGAAUUCCUGGUGUAGCGGUGAAAUGCGCAGAUAUCAGGAGGAACACCGGUGGCGAAGGCGGAUCUCUGGGCCAUUACUGACGCUGAGGAGCGAAAGCGUGGGGAGCGAACAGG
rnacentral:rRNA from 1 species